rnacentral:rRNA from 1 species
CCUAAUACAUGCAAGUCGAGCGGAGCAUCUUCGGAUGCUUAGCGGCGGACGGGUGAGUAACACGUGGAUAACCUGCCUGCACAAGGGGGACAACAGGCCGAAAGGCCUGCUAAUACCGCAUAAGCUCACGGCCUCGCAUGAGGCUGCGAGAAAAGGCGCUGCAAGGCGCUGUGUGCAGAGGGGUCCGCGGCCCAUUAGCUAGUUGGUGAGGUAACGGCUCACCAAGGCGACGAUGGGUAGCCGGCCUGAGAGGGCGACC